rnacentral:rRNA from 1 species
GAUGAACGCUAGCGGGAGGCUUAAUACAUGCAAGUCGAACGGUAACAGCAGUGUUUACAUUGGCUGACGAGUGGCGCACGGGUGAGUAACGCGUACAUAACCUACCUUAAACUGGAGGAUAGCCUUGGGAAACUGAGAAUAAUACUCCAUAGUAUAUACUAACCGCAUGGUUUGGUAUAUUAAAGCUCCGGCGGUUUAAGAUGGAUGUGCGUUAGAUUAGCUAGUUGGUAGGGUAACGGCCUACCAAGGCGACGAUCUAUAGGGGGCGUGAGAGCGUGAUCCCCCACACGGGUACUGAGACACGGACCCGACUCCUACGGGAGGCAGCAGUAAGGAAUAUUGGACAAUGGAGGAAACUCUGAUCCAGCCAUCCCGCGUGCAGGAUGACGGCCCUCUGGGUUGUAAACUGCUUUUGUAUGGGAAGAAACGCCUUUAUUUAUAAGGGUUUGACGGUACCAUAAGAAUAAGCAUCGGCUAACUCCG